CAGCCGCCGCGGUAAUACGAAGGGUGCAAGCGUUACUCGGAAUUACUGGGCGUAGAGCGUGCGUAGGUGGUGGUUUAAGUCCGUUGUGAAAGCCCUGGGCUCAACCUGGGAAUUGCAGUGGAUACUGGGUCACUAGAGUGUGGUAGAGGAUAGUGGAAUUUCCGGUGUAGCAGUGAAAUGCGUAGAGAUCGGAAGGAACAUCUGUGGCGAAGGCGACUAUCUGGGCCAACACUGACACCGAGGCACGAAAGCGUGGGGAGCAAACAGGAUUAGAUACCCGCGUAGUCCCUGUCUCUUAUCC
rnacentral:rRNA from 1 species